AUCCUGGCUCAGGAUGAACGCUAGCGGCGGGCUUAACACAUGCAAGUCGAGGGGCAGCGUGGAGCAGCAAUGCUCUGACGGCGACCGGCGGAAGGGUGCGUAACACGUGAGCGACUUGCCCGUCACAGGGGGAUAACCGGCGGAAACGGCGACUAAUACCCCAUAAGAUGUGAUGCUGCAUGGCAUUGCAUUGAAAGAUUCAUCGGUGGCGGAUAGGCUCGCGGGACA
rnacentral:rRNA from 1 species